GUUUCAUAAAAUCCUCUCUCCUUCCUUCCAUCUGAUUCUGGAUCAAUUUGCCGAGAGAUAAUCCGUCGUUAUGUCCUCUGAGCACAGAUUUCAAGAAUCUCAACUCUAAGGAUUUUGAUUUUUAUGUAUCGUAAUUGGAUGAGACGGAUGCUUGAGCCUCGAAUUGCUUUUCUUGUUGAUUAUGAUUUGCCAAGAGUUUAUUCAUGAAGAAUGAAAAGCUCGAAUCCGUCGUUAUGUCCUCUGAGAACAGAUUUCAAGAAUCUCAACUCUCAGCUAUUCGCCGAUUGAAUCGUUUUUACAGCAAGAUCAGAUAUCCGGAGGAAGGUUUAUGCUCUUAAUGGGCGUGAAAAUGAAAAUUCCAAGGAACAGUUGUUACCGUAUUCCAAGUGUAAUCGGCGCAUGAUUCCAGAGGAAAGAGGAACAUCUCUUAAGUAUCUUCUCAAUCGCUAGAACCAAACACUAACAGCAAAGCUGAAAAUCACAACUUCGUUAAGAGCUUAGCUUCAGACUUUUCACCGGCGAAGGAGAGUUUUGAACCCUUUUGAAUUGGCCAUUGGUAACAAAGUUUUUGAACCCGUUGUUGAUGAUGAAGUUUGGUCUAUGGAAGUCCAAAUUUCUCCCAGUGGUGAAGUAGGAAGACCAGAGCUACAGACGAGCACAAAGUGUCUCUCAAAUAAUGUAUAGUACAAAUAAGCAAUGGAUCAAAGAGGAUAACCAUCGACGCGUAAAAUCCUAAUAAAAAUACCGGUAUGUUUCGGCCUCAUAUACAGGUUAGUCUCCGCCUUUUCCGUCCGGCCCAAUUAUUU